rnacentral:tRNA from 1 species
GCCCUUGUGGCGGAAUCGGUAGACGCAGCAGACUCAAAAUCUGCCGUUCAUCUGAACAUGGGAGUUCGAGUCUCCCCGAGGGCACCA